UGACCAGACUAUACGGCAGCGGAAACGUUUUUCAGUUUACGAGGAAAGUCCGGGCAUCACAGAGCAAGGUAACUGUUAACGACAGCCGAGGGCGACCUUAGGGCAAGUGCAACAGAAAUAUACUUCCUCAGUAUUUUUUAUACUGCGGUAAAGGUGGAAAGGCGAGGUAAAAGCUCACCAGAGUGCAGGAGACUGUACUGCUAUGUAAACCCUACCUGAUGCAACGUCUAUUGGUGCUUUGUAUCUUAACGUCUGCUCGGCGGAUACAAAGUAAUGACGGCUUGAGCUUAUCGGCAACGGUAAGCCUAGAUAAAUUGCCGUACACGACAGAACCCGGCUUAUCGGUCUGGUCAUUUC
rnacentral:RNase_P_RNA from 1 species